UACGUAGGGUGCAAGCGUUAAUCGGAAUCACUGGGCGUAAAGCGCACGUAGGCGGGUUCUUAAGUCAGGGGUGAAAUCCUGGAGCUCAACUCCAGAACUGCCUUUGAUACUGGGAAUCUCGAGUCCGGGAGAGGUGAGUGGAACUGCGAGUGUAGAGGUGAAAUUCGUAGAUAUUCGCAAGAACACCAGUGGCGAAGGCGGACUCACUGGCCCGGUACUGACGCUGAGGCGCGAAAGCGUGGGAGCAACAGGG
rnacentral:rRNA from 1 species